UACGUGAGGGGCAAGCGUUGUCCGGAAUCAUUGGGCGUAAAGAGCGUGUAGGCGGCCCGAUAAGUCCGCCGUGAAAGUCCAGGGCUCAACCCUGGAAUGCCGGUGGAAACUGUCGGGCUGGAGUCCGGAAGAGGCGAGUGGAAUUCCUGGUGUAGCGGUGAAAUGCGCAGAUAUCAGGAGGAACACCAAUUGCGAAGGCAGCUCGCUGGGACGUUACUGACGCUGAGACGCGAAAGCGUGGGGAGCAAACAGG
rnacentral:rRNA from 1 species